rnacentral:rRNA from 1 species
ACGGAAGGCAGCAGUGGGGAAUAUUGGGCAAUGGGCGAAAGUCUGACCCAGCAACGCCGCGUGAAGGAUGAUGGUCUUCGGAUUGUAAACUUCUUUGAUUGGGGAAGAAUAAAUGACCUACCCAAAGAACAAGCCACGGCUAACUACGUGCCAGCAGCCGCGGUAAUACGUAGGUGGCAAGCGUUAUCCGGAUUUACUGGGUGUAAAGGGCGUGUGGCGGCUCUGCAAGUCAGAAGUGAAAUUCCUGGGCUCAGCCCGGGCGCUGCCUCUGAAACUGCAUAACUUGAGUACUGGAGGGGAAAGCGGAAUUCCUAGUGUAGCGGUAAAAUGCGCAGAUAUUAGGAGGAACACCGGUGGCGAAGGCGGCUUUCUGGACAGUAACUGACGCUGAGGCGCGAAAGCGUGGGGAGCAAACAGGAUUAGAUACCCUGGUA